UACGUAGGGUCCGAGCGUUGUCCGGAAUUAUUGGGCGUAAAGGGCUCGUAGGCGGUCCGUCACGUCGGGAGUGAAAACUCAGGGCUCAACCCUGAGCGUGCUUCCGAUACGGGCGGACUAGAGGUAUGCAGGGGAGAACGGAAUUCCUGGUGUAGCGGUGGAAUGCGCAGAUAUCAGGAGGAACACCGGUGGCGAAGGCGGCUCACUGGGCUGACCUUGACGCUGAGGCGCGAAGGCGUGGGGAGCGAACGGG
rnacentral:rRNA from 1 species